rnacentral:rRNA from 2 species
GGAGGAAAAGAAACUAACAAGGAUUCCCCUAGUAGCGGCGAGCGAAGCGGGAAGAGCUCAAAUUUGUAAUCUGGUACCUUCGGUGCCCGAGUUGUAAUCUCGAGAAGUGUUUUCCGUGCCAGACCGCGUACAAGUCUGUUGGAAUACAGCGUCAUAGUGGUGAGAACCCCGUAGAUGAUGCGGAUGCCUGGUGCUCUGUGAUACACUUUCGAAGAGUCGAGUUGUUUGGGAAUGCAGCUCAAAUUGGGUGGUAAAUUCCAUCUAAAGCUAAAUAUUGGCGAGAGACCGAUAGCGAACAAGUACCGUGAGGGAAAGAUGAAAAGCACUUUGGAAAGAGAGUUAACAGUACGUGAAAUUGUUGGAAGGGAAACGCUUGAAGUCAGACUUGCUAUUUGGAGUUCAGCCGCAAGGUGUAUUCUUCAAUUUGCAGGCCAGCAUCAGUUUUCGGGGGUUAAAAAGGGUCUUUGGAAUGUGGCAGCUUCGGCUGUGUUAUAGCCUUUGACUGGAUUAAUCCUUGGGGACUGAGGAACGCAGCGCACUUUUUGCACGGCCCUCGGGCUGUUUUGCGCUUAGGAUGCUGGUGGAAUGGCUUUAAACGACCCGUCUUGA